rnacentral:rRNA from 1 species
ACAGCAGUCGCCACGGUAAUACGAAGGUCCCGAGCGUUGUUCGGAAUCACUGGGCGUAAAGGGAGCGUAGGCGGCGUGGUAAGUCAGAUGUGAAAUCCCGGGGCUCAACCCCGGAACUGCAUCCGAUACUGCCGUGCUAGAGGAUUGGAGAGGUAGCUGGAAUUCUUGGUGUAGCAGUGAAAUGCGUGGAGAUCAAGAGGAACACUCGUGGCGAAAGCGAGCUACUGGACAAUAUCUGACGCUGAGGCUCGAAGGCCAGGGUAGCGAAAGGGAUUAGAUACCCCCGUAGUCCCUGUCUCUUAUAC